rnacentral:rRNA from 1 species
UAGGGAAUCUUCCGCAAUGGACGCAAGUCUGACGGAGCAACGCCGCGUGAGUGAAGAAGGAUUUCGGUUCGUAAAACUCUGUUGUUAGAGAAGAACAGCGCAUAGAGUAACUGAUAUGCGUGUGACGGUAUCUAACCAGAAAGCCACGGCUAACUACGUGCCAGCAGCCGCGGUAAUACGUAGGUGGCAAGCGUUGUCCGGAUUUAUUGGGCGUAAAGCGAGCGCAGGCGGUCAAUUAAGUCUGAUGUGAAAGCCCCCGGCUCAACCGGGGAGGGUCAUUGGAAACUGGUUGACUUGAGUGCAGAAGAGGAGAGUGGAAUUCCAUGUGUAGCGGUGAAAUGCGUAGAUAUAUGGAGGAACACCAGUGGCGAAGGCGACUCUCUGGUCUGUAACUGACGCUGAGGCUCGAAAGCGUGGGUAGCAAACAGG